rnacentral:lncRNA from 1 species
AUUACUUUUAGAAAAUGGCCACAGGCUGCCAAAGACUUAGUUUGUCAGUAGUUCAUGGUAUGGUAAAAUUAAUAAGAUAUUAUUACACUUCCUAUUUACCAUAUUUUUUAUAAAUAAAGUAGUAUAUCAUAAUCUUGUUUUAUCAUUGCAAUGUAGGAUGUUUACAAAUUUAGAACAAGAGCUGAUGAGGUUUCGGCAAGGCACAUUUCUGAGAAAUGUGCUUCAGAUCGACUUAGUGAUCUUUUAA